CUCGGCUCACUGCAACCUCUGUCUCCUGGGUUUAAGCGAUUCUUCUGCCUCAGCCUCCCAAGUAGCUGGGACUGUAGUCCAGCUACCACCAUGCCCGGCUACUUUUUUGUAUUUUUAGUAGAGAUGGGAUUUCACUAUGUUGGCUAGGCUGGUCUCCAACUCCUCACCUCAGACACUUUUUACUGCAAAAUGAUGAAGCCAUAAGCCUCCUGUCUGUUGGGUUGAGGAAAAGUAGUCCUCCUCUCAAACAUUGGGAUUCCCCCUCUUUUGAUCACAACUGUCAAUCAAAAAUCUCAGGCAGCUCCCUACUACCUAGCAGAUGGCUUCAACUCCCUGGCUUUUGCCUUGGAAAUCUGGCCCCAGCGUAAUUUUCUCUCACUGCCCAUCACGUAUCGAACACUCCAGCAACCUCUUCUCACCUCUUUCACGGCCUUCUCCCCUUGGAAUGUCCUCUCACAUCUCCCCUGGUCCAGACUUACCUAUUCUUUUUUUUCUUUUGAGACGAGGUCUUGCUCUUGUCCGCCAGCCUGGAGUGCAAUGGUGCGAUCUCGGCUCACUGCAACCCCCGCUUCCUGGGUUCAAGUGAUUCUCCUGCCUCAGCCUCCCAAGUAGCUGGGAUUACAGGUGCGUACCACCAUGCCCAGCUAAUUUUUUGUAUUUUAAGUAGAGACGGGGUUUCACCAUGUUGGCCAGGCUGGUCUUGAACUCCUGACCUCAGGUGAUCCACCCACCUCGGCCUCCCAAAGUGCUGGGAUUACAGGCAUGAGCCAUUGCGCCUGGCCCAGACUUACCUAUUCUUCAAAAUGCCCUUCAUGAAGUUUCUUCUGGCUCUCCAGCUGGAAGGAAACUCCUCCUUGUCUGGACUCAGACAGCACCGUGUACCUCUUUGCAUCUGAGGACAUUCUACCUUGGGUUCAUUAGUUAUUUAUGAUUUUAUCACCUCCACCAAAAGCGUCUACGAUAGAGAAUGCUUUAGGUUGAAAAUACAGAAAAUGCCCUUCAAAAUGGCUUAUGCCAUAAGGAUUAUUUCACGUAAUUAGGAGUCCAAAGAUACAGUGGUUCAGUCACAUUAUCAAAGUCUUGGCUUUUUUCCAUCUUUCCACUCUGCCACCUUCAUUGGGAAGGCUUUUGCCCUCUGCCUUGUCUUCUUUUGAGUACAGGUGUCUGCAGCCACAACUCCAGAGAGAAGCCAUUACUCUACAGAGGACAGCAUCUAGGGUGGCCUUCAUGAGCCCCAGCUGUUGGCAUCAUCCCUUGUUGUGAUAUGGAACCUGUGACUUGCUUCUCACCAGUGGAAUAUGGCAAAGGUGAUGGGCUCUCUGUGAUUACACACAUGUGCUCACGUUACAUACAAUUGUAACAGCCACGUCACUAGGAGACCCUCUCUCUCCCUUGCUGGCUUUGGUGAAGCAGCUUCCAUGUUGUGAGCUGCCACAUGGAGAAAGCCACAUGUUAGAGAACUGAGUGUGGCUUCUGCUCAGCAGCCAGUGUGACACUGAGGCCCUCAGUCUGGCAGCCUGCAAGGAACUGCCAUGUGAGACUGGAAGUGAACCCUUCUCCAGUCAAGCCUUGGAUGAGACUGCGGCAUUGGCUGACCCUGGGAUUCCAUCUUUCUGAGACCCUGAAGCAGAGGAUCCAGCUAAGCUGUCCCUGGACUCCUGACCCCCAGAAAUUGGUCAAGCCAGCUCUCCAAGGAUCUCUCAGCCAGGGCGGACAGAAACGGAUACCCAUGUUACUGCAUGGCCCCUGAACCUGAUGGAGUAUGACCUACUGGGCAGAGCUCAGCUCAGCUACCCCAAGAAGUAAACAGCACAGAGGGAAAGAUAAACCUUCCAGGCUUUCCGAAAGCAAUUAUCAUGUGUGGUUAUCAGAAAAUUUGUAUUCACUAUCCCGGGGGAAGGAAGCAGAGAUACAAAUAAACCCAGAAUUGAUAUUUGCCUGGGGAUAAAUUACAUGACAUUGCAGGGUGGGGAGCAGAUUUUCUUUCUGGAUUACUUUCUGCACAGGCGGCCAUUAAAAUGUAUAGCUAGCCCCUGAGUGUGCAUCAGCUUGGGGCCGGGAAGCCAGACUGGAGGCCAUGGUUUGAGGGCAUAGCGCUCAUAAGGAAAUGGGAAAGUCAACUUUUGAUUUUCUUUUGUCAAGUGUUUGAGAAGGGUUUGUUACUUUCUCCAAGGCCCUGAGAGUUGAUAUCACACUCUCCCCUACAUGGUGUGGGCUGGCAACCACAAGGUGGUGACUUCCAUAGCAGGUCCUCUGAAGGGGAAGAGACAGCAGGUGGUCCCACGGACCUGCAGGAUUCUUGAGCUGCCCACGACAGCCAGUGCAUCACGCCCUCAUCUAGAAGCUUCAGCCCGGUGUUUAUGAGCUUGGCAGUAAAAACUCCACUGGUGCUCUGUGGAUAAGCAAAGCUGGUGUCCCUUCCCUUGCACACUGGCAGUGUUCGGUAGCAAGGGGUUCAAUGCUGGGGCCAUUCCUUUGUCUUGGGAAACUGUCACAGGGUAGGACGGCCAUUUCUUCAGGCUUGCUGACCCCAGGUUAACCUCACACCAGCCCAGUGGCCCCCUUCGGGGCAGUGUGGCCAGGGGGACAAUUAUCUGUGGCUUUAUCAGGCAGAUGGUGUCUGCAAUCCUCACUCUACAAUCUCAGCUGUUUGACCUUGGACAAAGCUGGCCUCACCUACUCACCCAUGAGCUGGAGGUCGCUGCGGUACCUACACCACUGGGCUGGCAUGAGGAUGAAAUUAGAAUGUACAGAGGGUGCUCAGCACACAGUGUUUGUCCAGGAAGUGGCAGCUCUCAUAAUUUUCUGUGCGUAACGAGUUAUAACAAACUCCUUUUUUUCAAGAGCACACUCUAUGUUUUCUAAAAUCUAGGAAAGAAACAAAUUGUCUUUCUCAACAGAAACCUGUGAAAACAACUCAGGGACACCCAUACCAUGAGACCCUUGCCCCGGCCAUUUGAAUAACCACAGGCUAGAGCCUUACAGCUCUUCAUCCCCAGCGUGGUACUCAUCCCAUGAAAGGCCACGUUCUACUCACAGGUGAAAUAAACUGGUUUUAAACAAUCAGCCUUACGGCAAUCUUGAGGACAAGAGAUUUGGGACAUUUCUUGGGCCACGUUUGACCUGAAGCCAGCAGGUCAUAGACUUAGGUCCCCAGUCAAACCCUUGCUCAGGUGGGAAACUCAUGCACUGCACCUGGUUCUGGUCUGUGAUCUCUCCUGGAAGCCGAGCAUCAUUUGGAAGUGUGUCUGGAGGAGGUGUUCCUUUUUUUUUUUUAAUUGAGGCAGAGUCUUGCUCUAUCGCCCCAGAGCUAGAGUGCAGUGGCACCAUCUCGGCU
rnacentral:lncRNA from 10 species